GUGGGGACCCCUCCAGUGUUUGAGUGGCUGCCUGGUAGGACCGUCCCCUGGCUCCCAAGCACUACAGCAGUGCUUUCCCACCCAGGGGGCUGCACAAAGGUAGCCUCACCACAGGGACGGCUAGGGGGCCAUCUGAGGGUGACGUGCUGCGAGGUUGCCCAGGAGCUGGUCCCUGUGGUCCACGGAUGCUGGGCAGAGGUGGCCACCCAGCCAGAACCAGAGCCACACUAGGUGGGACGGAUUCCUUCACAGCUGUGACACGUGACACAGGGCACGUUAUCAGCUCGCCACAGAGCAGGUCCCUGCGCAGGGGCCGCUGGGGACAGGAGACAGGUGGGGAAGUCCUGCUCCAUCCUGUCCCCGCUGGCGUCUCCCUCCCCCACACCCAGGCCCUUGCUCUCAAGCACAGCUUUCCUGAGCACGCUGUCUGGACUUCUCAGCCUGGGCCCCACCCCAGUGCAGCUUCUCACCCAGAUCCCUCUUCGCACCCCUCACCCUUUCCCAACACCGUCCCUUCUUGGGACUCAUCUUCGUCUUCUCUCUCUUCCAUCAGGCCCCUCAGCCCUCAUAGCAUUGCCCUCUGUAUCCUGCCCCUCCCCUCGGCCAGCUCUCCACCUGCUUUCUCUUUCAGAACCCCAGGUAACUACCCCUCAUCUGGCCUUGGCCUCUUCCCUUGGCUUAGUCCUGUAAACCAUGUCUCUCUCCCGGGUCUUUCCACAGGAGCCCAGAACACAUCACGGACAGGGAAGUUUUGAAAUCUCACUUGGUCUUGGAAUUUGUACCCCCCCCCCCAGCCGAGGACCUAAGAUUGGCUCUUAGCCUCCCUGGGCCCACACCUUGCUCCCUGCUUCCCUGUUCCAGCCCUUUCCUCCCAGUACUCUUCCAGUACUCCCAGCCCACCCCACCCUGUUCCUUUCAGGCCAGAGGGGCUGAGUUCACCCUAGCACUCACUGUGUGCUGUCAUGGGCUGAGUACAAGUUCAUAAAGUAGCAACUGAAACCACCCCCCAUUUUGCAGAUGAGAAAACUGACGCUCGGCCCUCAGAGCCCAGUUAGUGGUGGUGGAGCCUGUCAGAGCACAGGACCUGUGUUCUUAACCGCGGGGCUCUUUCUGCACUUGGGACCAUCCGGAUGAGGGUUGGAGGAACGUGGCAGAUGGCAGACACGGAAGCAGAGGGUGAGAAAUGGCCACAACAUGGACAGAGGGAGACACGGAGCGGAUGACAGCAGGCUCCUUACCACCACCGACGGCAGAAGACAACCAAAGAACCAACAGGGCUGCAGAGCACCAGGUCGCACACGCCUCUGCGGGGCCAGCCUUCACACAGGCCUUCAGCAGACCCCAGUUAAGGACAGUGUCACAGCAUCACUGUCUUGGAAAAACAUCCACCGUGCAGAUAAUCUGCACGGUCCCGCAAAUCCCUUGAGACCGCAUGCUGGCCAGCCACACUCCCCCAGGUCUUUAAGGUCACAUCUGAUCAGCAAGUGGCCCUUCAGCUCUCACCAGUCGUGGUCACCACACAGUUACCUCCGCU